GACGAACGCUGGCGGCGUGCCUAAUACAUGCAAGUAGGACGCAGUUGCGAACGGGUGAGUAACGCGUCGGUAACUGCCUAUUAGCGGGGGAUAACUAUUGGAAACGAUAGCUAAUACCGCAUACUAGUAGAUGGACCUGCGUUGUAUUAGCUAGUAGGUAGGGUAAGGGCCUACCUAGGCGACGAUACCUAGCCGACCUGAGAGGGUGAGCGGCGAAACGGGGACGGAGACACGGCCCAGACUCAGACGGGAGGCAGCAGUAGGGAAUGUUAGGCAAUGGGGGGAACCCUGACCGAGCAACGCCGCGUGAGUGAAGAUGGUGUUCGGAUCGUAAAGCUCUGUUGUUAAGGAAGCGGUACUUAACCAGAAAGGGACGGCUAACUACGUGCCAGCAGCCGCGGUAAUAC
rnacentral:rRNA from 1 species